AUGCCUGUUGUUGAUUUAAAAUUGUACAGUUACUGCUCAACCUUCUUCUUGCCAUAUGAUCAUGUUCAGCUGUUGCCACUUAUCGCACUGUCAAGCGCUGUGAACAGAGGACAAACAAUUUGCAUUUGUGAAAUUUUAGUUUAGGGAUUCUGUUGCCGUUCGGCUUUACCUAAAGAUAUGUACAUUGUACAGUAUACAUAAUUAAGAGUUGUGGAAUACGGAAGGUAUCUUAGCAUAGUGCCUGAGGCAAUGGGAAAAAUCUACAUGUGGUUGUAGAAGAAGCAUCUUCGCUCUUGAUGACCACAUCUGGGUUCCAUUUCUUGACGGUAAUUUGUUCAGGUUCCUCUCAAAUUGCUGAGGUUGAUUUUUCAUUAGCAAAUGAGAGUAUUUGACUUUCAUUUCUAUCGUUUAUGUUCAGGUGAAAUUUGAUUUUUUUUUUUUAUUAUGCAUAACUAAUGUAAUUUGUCUGUGAUUUCAGCAUUCUUAUUCUCAAUUAUAGUUAUGUGUUUAUUUUUUUUAA